GAUGAACGCUGGCGGCGUGCCUAAUACAUGCAAGUCGAGCGAACAGACGAGGAGCUUGCUCCUCUGACGUUAGCGGCGGACGGGUGAGUAACACGUGGAUAACCUACCUAUAAGACUGGGAUAACUUCGGGAAACCGGAGCUAAUACCGGAUAAUAUAUUGAACCGCAUGGUUCAAUAGUGAAAGACGGUUUUGCUGUCACUUAUAGAUGGAUCCGCGCCGCAUUAGCUAGUUGGUAAGGUAACGGCUUACCAGGGCAACGAUGCGUAGCCGACCUGAGAGGGUGAUCGGCCACACUGGAACUGAGACACGGUCCAGACUCCUACGGGAGGCAGCAGUAGGGAAUCUUCCGCAAUGGGCGAAAGCCUGACGGAGCAACGCCGCGUGAGUGAUGAAGGUCUUCGGAUCGUAAAACUCUGUUAUUGGGGAAGAACAAAUGUGUAAGUAACUAUGCACGUCUUGACGGUACCUAAUCAGAAAGCCACGGCUAACUACGUG
rnacentral:rRNA from 1 species